UGGUUCAUAUCCAGCAUGCAUUAGCUAAGAAACGAUAAGGAUGUUGGUGUGUUAGUUAAUGUAAAGAAAUGUAUGUGUGCUCAUGUGCAGACGAUAUAUAUAGUUUGUUAAUUGGAUAAUUCAUAUCCUGCAAGGCUCCUAAAGACUUCAUGAGAUAAUGACCUUUUGACAUCUGGAACUUACAUGUUGCUCUGAUGUUGGUGCGUUCAAGUUUAGGAGAACUGACAAUGUGUGUGCGUUAAACAUGAUUAGGGAACAUGUUCGUGUGUCAUUUAGAAAACCUAUAUAAACCCUGUGUUUUCUUGUGUUCGGGGGACCAUUUCUGCGAUUGGUUGCUCUUGAAGCAAGGUAAUGUUUCCCCAUUGUUGUUUGGUGGUGCGCAACUAAAUAAUAAUGAUUAAUCUCAACUAUUCCUGUGUUUGUGUUUCAUUGAUUCCUCUCUGUUUCAUUCUUUCAUGUUGUGUGAGUACUUGGAUCGCCACAACAUUUUGGAGGUCCCACCGAGAUUGCCAAUGCUGGAAGUUGCUGUGUUCCUUCUCUGGGGGUCUCAACUCCCCUUAGCCAGGCAGCCCUGAGAUGGCUGUGGUAAACUCAAAGAAUUGAGAAACCAGACUUGGGACUUCCACAGAAGAAAUACCAACUCACACGACCCACCUGGAGAAGGAGCGCUGAGAGCAGCAUGGAGGAGAACAAAGAGACCCCUGGAGCACAGAAACUGAAAGGAAGAGAGAGACGUCACGGCUGUCAGCAAUGUGACAAAUCCUUUACAAGAUCUGUAACUUUAAAGCGCCACCUGCGUAUUCACACGGGAGAAAACCCGUACAGCUGUGAAGAGUGUGGGAAAACGUUCACUAGAUCAGAUGCUCUCAAAACACAUCACCGUAUUCACACUGGAGAAAAACCGUACAGCUGUGAAGAGUGUGGGACAACUUUCACUACA